AUGUCCGUAGGCCAUCGCCGUCUUGUUUCAGGGGAGGAGUUCGAGGACUGUCUUGAACACCCAGAUCCGGUUCCUCUGGCCUUGUUCCUGAGAAGCGAAGCCAGCCACGCCGUCCCUGCGGACUCAAAUGCCGGGUUACAGCUCGGUAGUGCACCACCAGACCAGACACCUUGUCCCUGGGAUGAGUGCUCACAAUUAUGCAGAGGAACCGACAAAGAGUGUAGUGCGACCUGCACUUGCUCGGGCGAGGCAUAUGAUUUCUACAAUUUGUACACUUGGGAGAUCGGGUUCGGAAUUAGAUAUGAUAAGAUCAGGCUCAACGCUGAGAGGACAAAAUGCAUGGAGGAGAUAGUCUGCGGUUGCUCGGUGCCUACUGAACUCUGCUUACAUAGUUAUAUUUGA
rnacentral:rRNA from 1 species